UACGAAGGGGGCUAGCGUUGCUCGGAAUCACUGGGCGUAAAGGGUGCGUAGGCGGGUUUUUAAGUCAGUGGUGAAAUCCUGGAGCUCAACUCCAGAACUGCCUUUGAUACUGAAGAUCUUGAGUCCGGAAGAGGUGAGUGGAACUGCGAGUGUAGAGGUGAAAUUCGUAGAUAUUCGCAAGAACACCAGUGGCGAAGGCGGCUCACUGGUCCGGUACUGACGCUGAGGCACGAAAGCGUGGGGAGCAAACAGG
rnacentral:rRNA from 1 species